rnacentral:rRNA from 1 species
AGGACGAACGCUGGCGGCGUGCUUAACACAUGCAAGUCGAGCGGAAAGGCCCUUCGGGGUACUCGAGCGGCGAACGGGUGAGUAACACGUGAGCAACCUGCCCUUAGCUCUGGGAUAGCUCCGGGAAACCGGAAUUAAUACCGGAUAUUACACCGGCUGGCAUCGGCUGGUGUGGAAAGAUUUAUCGGCUAAGGAUGGACUCGCGGCCUAUCGGCUUGUUGGUGGGGUAGAAGCCUACCAAGGCGACGACGGGUA